ACGGAAUAGAUACCCAGGUAGUCCACGCCGUAAACGUUGGGCGCUAGGUGUGGGGGCCAUUCCACGGUCUCCGUGCCGCAGCUAAACGCAUUAAGCGCCCCGCCUGGGGAGUACGGCCGCAAGGCUAAAACUCAAAGGAAUUGACGGGGGCCCGCACAAGCGGCGGAGCAUGUUGCUUAAAUUCGAUGCAACGCGAAGAACCUUACCUAGGCUUGACAUGCACGGAAAUCUCGCAGAGAUGCGGGGUCCGUAAGGGUCGUGCACAGGUGGUGCAUGGUUGUCGUCAGCUCGUGUCGUGAGAUGUUGGGUUAAGUCCCGCAACGAGCGCAACCCUCGUCCCAUGUUGCCAGCGGGUUAUGCCGGGGACUCAUGGGAGACUGCCGGGGUCAACUCGGAGGAAGGUGGGGAUGACGUCAAAUCAUCAUGCCCCUUAUGUCUAGGGCUGCAAACAUGCUACAAUGGCCGGUACAAAGGGCUGCGAUACCGCGAGGUGGAGCGAAUCCCAAAAACGCCGGUCUCAGUUCGGAUU
rnacentral:rRNA from 1 species